rnacentral:rRNA from 1 species
CCUACGGGUGGCAGCAGUGAGGAAUAUUGGUCAAUGGACGCAAGUCUGAACCAGCCAUGCCGCGUGCAGGAUGACGGCUCUAUGAGUUGUAAACUGCUUUUGUACGAGGGUAAACCCCGAUACGUGUAUCGGGUUGAAAGUAUCGUACGAAUAAGGCUCGGCUAACACCGUGCCAGCAGCCGCGGUAAUUCGGAGGAACCGAGCGUUUGCCGGAUUUGUUGGGGUGAAAGGGUGCGUAGGCGGUUUGAUAAGUUAGGGGGGAAAUGUAGGGGCUCAACCCCGAAACUGCCUCUAAUACUGUUGGACUAGAGAAUAGUUGCGGUAGGCGGAAUGUAUGGUGUAGCGGUGAAAUGCUUAGAGAUCAUACAGAACACCGAUUGCGAAGGCAGCUUACCAAACUAUAUCUGACGUUGAGGCACGAAAGCGUGGGUAGCAAACAGGAUUAGAUACCCGGGUAGUC